rnacentral:rRNA from 1 species
AUUGAACGCUGGCGGCAUGCCUUACACAUGCAAGUCGAACGGCAGCAUGGAGAGCUUGCUCUCCGAUGGCGAGUGGCGAACGGGUGAGUAAUGCAUCGGAACGUACCGUGUAAUGGGGGAUAACGUAGCGAAAGUUACGCUAAUACCGCAUACGACCUGAGGGUGAAAGCAGGGGAUCGCAAGACCUUGCGUUAUACGAGCGGCCGAUGUCAGAUUAGCUAGUUGGUGAGGUAAAGGCUCAACAAGGGGAAGAUCUGUAGCGGGUCUGAGAGGAUGAUCCGCCACACUGGGACUGAGACACGGCCCAGACUCCUACGGGAGGCAGCAGUGGGGAAUUUUGGACAAUGGGGGCAACCCUGAGCCAGCCAUGCCGGGUGAGUGAAGAAGGCCUUCGGGUUGUAAAGCUCUUUCGGCCAGGAAGAAAUCGCACAGGCUAAUACUCUGUGUGGAUGACGGUACCGGCAUAAGAAGCACCGGCUAACUACGUGCCAGCCGCCGCCGUAA